UACGUAGGGUGCGAGCGUUAAUCGGAAUUACUGGGCGUAAAGCGUGCGUAGGCGGUUCGUUAAGUUCGUUGUGAAAGCCCCCGGGCUCAACCUGGGAAUGGCAAUGGAAACUGGCGGGCUGGAGUAUGGCAGAGGGGGGGUGGAAUUCCGCGUGUAGCAGUGAAAUGCGUAGAGAUGCGGAGGAACACCGAUGGCGAAGGCAGCCCCCCUGGGCCAAUACUGACGCUCAGGCACGAAAGCGUGGGGAGCAAACAGG
rnacentral:rRNA from 1 species